rnacentral:rRNA from 1 species
AACGAACGCUGGCGGCAUGCCUAACACAUGCAAGUCGAACGAGACCUUCGGGUCUAGUGGCGCACGGGUGCGUAACGCGUGGGAACCUGCCCUUAGGUUCGGAAUAAAUCCCCGAAAGGGGUGCUAAUACCGGAUAAUGUCUUCGGACCAAAGAUUUAUCGCCUUUGGAUGGGCCCGCGUUGGAUUAGCUAGUUGGUAGGGUAAAAGCCUACCAAGGCGACGAUCCAUAGCUGGUCUGAGAGGAUGAUCAGCCACACUGGGACUGAGACACGGCCCAGACUCCUACGGGAGGCAGCAGUGGGGAAUAUUGGACAAUGGGCGAAAGCCUGAUCCAGCAAUGCCGCGUGAGUGAUGAUGGCCUUAGGGUUGUAAAGCUCUUUUACCCGGGAUGAUAAUGACAGUACCGGGAGAAUAAGCUCCGGCUAACUCCGUG